rnacentral:lncRNA from 1 species
ACUUCACCACCAUGAACAUCCAACAAAUAUCAAGAUCGAAAAAUGUGAGGACUGACCUCUUAUCCAAGCUCACGAUGCUCGAUACGAUCGACCUAAAAAGAAGCUCAUACUUAGAAACCCUCGAGAAGUCGAGUAUUGAGGAGUCUCCUGUGAUGCAGACAGAUUCUGAGUUGAGCUAGAUAGAUCCGAUCUUUUAGUACCUACAAGAUGGAGUAUUGUCUGCUAAUUGAGACGAAGCC